rnacentral:rRNA from 1 species
UACAUGUGGGGCAAGCGUUGUUCGGAAUUACUGGGCAUAAAGGGUGCGUAGGCGGCUUGUUAAGUCAGGGGUGAAAGUUUUCGGCCCAACCGGAAAAUGGCCUCUGAUACUGGCGAGCUCGAGUGCGUGAGGGGUGACUGGAACGAGCAGUGUAGCGGUGAAAUGCGUAGAUAUUGCUCGGAAGGCCAACGGCGAAGGCAGGUCACUGGUACGCAACUGACGCUGAGGCACGAAAGCGUGGGGAGCAAACAGG